rnacentral:tRNA from 1 species
GGGAAUUAGCCAAGUGGUAAGGCAGGGGACUUUGACUCCUCCACCGGGGGUUCGAAUCCCUCAUUCCCAGCCA